AACUAACGCUGGCGGCGUGCCUAACACAUGCAAGUCGUACGAGAAAGCCGGCUUCGGCUGGUGAGUAAAGUGGCGCACGGGUGAGUAACGCGUGGAUAAUCUGCCCUUAAGUGUGGAAUAACGUACCGAAAGGUGCGCUAAUACCGCAUAAUGCCUGGCAACACAAGUUGUCCGGCCAAAGAAGGCCUCUGUUUACAAGCUUUCGCUUCAGGAUGAGUCCGCGUACCAUUAGCUUGUUGUGGGGUAAUGGCCUACCAAGGCUGCGAUGGUUAGCUGGUCUGAGAGGAUGAUCAGCCACACUGGAACUGAGACACGGUCCAGACUCCUACGGGAGGCAGCAGUGAGGAAUAUUGCGCAAUGGGGGCAACCCUGACGCAGCAACGCCGCGUGAGUGAGGAAGGUUUUCGGACUGUAAAGCUCUGUCGAGCGGGAAGAAGUGUACCAUGGCUAAGUAUCCAUGACUAUUUGACGGUACCGCUACGAGG
rnacentral:rRNA from 1 species